UCGGCCAGCCACAGCUCCAAGAAUAUGCAGAGGAGGUGGCCCGGGUCGGCGUCGGCGCCGUCCGGCACGUGCCACGGACCCGCUUACAAGUGCGUCUGCGUGCCGGCCACCCACGCCGGGUCCUUCAAGUGCCGCUUCCACCGCACCAACUCCCAGGGCCACGGCCACGGCCAGGGUCAAGGAAGCCGCCCUUCUUCGCCGGCCAACGCGGUUCCGCGGCAACCGGCCUCGCCGUCCUCGUCCUCCGGCACCGUCGCGACCCAGUGA
rnacentral:rRNA from 1 species